rnacentral:rRNA from 1 species
UACGGAGGGUGCAAGCGUUAUCCGGAUUCACUGGGUUUAAAGGGUGCGUAGGAGGGCAGGUAAGUCAGUGGUGAAAUCUCCGAGCUUAACUUGGAAACUGCCGUUGAUACUAUCUGUCUUGAAUACCGUGGAGAUGAGCGGAAUAUGUCAUGUAGCGGUGAAAUGCUUAGAUAUGACAUAGAACACCAAAUUGCGAAGGCAGCUCGUUUACACGAAUAUUGACUCUGAGGCACGAAAAGCGUGGGGGAUCAAAACAGG